rnacentral:misc_RNA from 1 species
UAACAAUAAUAAUAACAAUUAAUGGAUGCAUGAAUUUGGACUGUCAAUGUACUUUUUAAGUCCAGCCCGUUGCUAUUGCCUAAAGGGUUAAGGCUUGAUCCAGGAAAAAAAGGGCAGUUGAGGCUCAGUUAGCUCAAUCUCACAAAAUAAAUGGCUUAAAAGCCCAAAAUAAUUAAAGUCCUAGAGUUAAGGAAGGAGAUAGAAGAAAGAGGGUAGCAACAAAGAAACUUUCUGUGUCUUCCCUGAUAGCGCCACAACGCCAACAACAUUUUUCAAUAGUGAAAAGAAAGCAACAUUAAUAAGAAAAGAUAGACUGACUUCUUGCUCUUUAAUAUCCGCUCUUGAAUUAAGAAUUUGCACCAAGUCCACCAUAGCCUUGUUCUCCCUGUCACUUAAUUUAGAGCCAACAACAAUCUUUGGGGGGUGACGCAUGACAGAAGUCAUGGUGUCUCACUCUCUUACAAGUCAGUCGUUAAUUGAUGAACAUGAAGACUCUAGAGGUAUCAUGCACAAAGUAUCACAACACUCUUUAAAGCCAAACACAAAGUUCCACAGCCUAGUUGACAAAAACAAAUCAAGUCUAAAGAUGAACCUCUCCAAGAAACAUUGAACUUGCAUUUGAAAAACAACAUAAAGCAGAAAAUAUUUGCACUUUCCGAAUCAGGGAAGAGCCAUCCCUUGUCUUGAUAAAGCAAGAAAAGGCCACAGGACGAUAAAGCAGGGGGCAAAAAAGUCUCUCGAAAACCACGAAAUGAUGAGAAAAAUUUCUCUCUAAAUUUGCAACUGCCUGACUUAAUAAAGGUGAACAACUGCAACAUCAUAACUACAUGAACUGGGGAAUAAUUAAUCAAAUUUAAUUUUGUGUUCUUGAUAAGCUUCAAAAAGUUAUGUAAUUAUUAUAGGAAAAGAUUCAUAUUUAGCAAUUCAAUGAACUAACGUUAGUCUCAGAAAAGGCACAGAUUCAUUUGAACUCUCCUCUACGCUUGAUUUUUGAUUUUAUUGAAGGACAAAAACAGAAAAAAAUCAAU